GAUGAACGCUGGCGGCGUGCCUAAUACAUGCAAGUCGAGCGAACAGACGAGGAGCUUGCUCCUCUGACGUUAGCGGCGGACGGGUGAGUAACACGUGGAUAACCUACCUAUAAGACUGGGAUAACUUCGGGAAACCGGAGCUAAUACCGGAUAACAUGUUGAACCGCAUGGUUUAACAGUGAAAGACGGUCUUGCUGUCACUUAUAGAUGGAUCCGCGCCGCAUUAGCUAGUUGGUAAGGUAACGGCUUACCAAGGCAACGAUGCGUAGCCGACCUGAGAGGGUGAUCGGCCAUACUGGAACUGAGACACGGUCCAGACUCCUACGGGAGGCAGCAGUAGGGAAUCUUCCGCAAUGGGCGAAAGCCUGACGGAGCAACGCCGCGUGAGUGAAGAAGGUCUUCGGAUCGUAAAACUCUGUUAUUAGGGAAGAACAAAUGUGUAAGUAACUAUGCACGUCUUGACGGUACCUAAUCAGAAAGCCACGGCUAACUACGUG
rnacentral:rRNA from 1 species